UCUGCAGUCCUCUUGGUCCCCCCUUGGGUUUUCCCUCCUAUAUAUUUCAAUAAAUAAACACAUGCAUGAAUACUUUUUUUUUUUUUUUUUCUGUGUCCAGUCUGCAGUCCUCUUGGUCCCCCCUUGGGGUUUCCCUCCUAUAUAUUUCAAUACAUAAACACAUGCAUGAAUACUUUUUUUUUUUUUUUUUUCUGUGUCCAGUCUGCAGUCCUCCUGGUCCCCCAUUGGGUUUUCCCUCCUAUAUAUUUCAAUAAAUAAACACAUGCAUAAAUACUUUUUUUUUUUUUUUUUUUUUUUUUCUGUGUCCAGUCUGCAGUCCUCUUGGUCCCCCUUGGGUUUUCCCUCCUAUAUAUUUCAAUAAAUAAACACAUGCAUGAAUACUUUUUUUUUUU
rnacentral:lncRNA from 1 species